rnacentral:rRNA from 1 species
GCAUAUCAAUAAGCGGAGGAAAAGAAACCAACCGGGAUUGCCUCAGUAACGGCGAGUGAAGCGGCAAGAGCUCAAAUUUGAAAUCUGGCCCCCUCGGGGUCCGAGUUGUAAUUUGCAGAGGAUGCUUCGGGUGCGGCCCCCGUCUAAGUGCCCUGGAACGGGCCGUCAUAGAGGGUGAGAAUCCCGUCUGGGACGGGGUGUCCGCGUCCGUGUGAAGCUCCUUCGACGAGUCGAGUUGUUUGGGAAUGCAGCUCUAAAUGGGUGGUAAAUUUCAUCUAAAGCUAAAUACUGGCCGGAGACCGAUAGCGCACAAGUAGAGUGAUCGAAAGAUGAAAAGCACUUUGAAAAGAGAGUUAAAAAGCACGUGAAAUUGUUGAAAGGGAAGCGCUUGCGACCAGACUCGCCCGCGGGGUUCAGCCGGCAUUCGUGCCGGUGUACUUCCCCGCGGGCGGGCCAGCGUCGGUUUGGGCGGCCGGUCAAAGGCCCCCGGAAUGUAGCACCCUUCGGGGUGCCUUAUAGCCGGGGGUGCAAUGCGGCCAGCCUGGACCGAGGAACGCGCUUCGGCACGGACGCUGGCAUAAUGGUCGUAAACGACCCGUCUUGAAACACGGACCAAGGAGUCUAACAUCUACGCGAGUGUUCGGGUGUCAAACCCGUGCGCGCAGUGAAAGCGAACGGAGGUGGGAGCCCCCCCGCGGGGCGCACCAUCGACCGAUCCUGAUGUCUUCGGAUGGAUUUGAGUAAGAGCGUAAAUGUGGGGACCCGAAAGAUGGUGAACUAUGCCUGAAUAGGGCGAAGCCAGAGGAAACUCUGGUGGAGGCUCGCAGCGGUUCUGACGUGCAAAUCGAUCGUCAAAUUUGGGUAUAGGGGCGAAAGACUAAUCGAACCAUCUGGUAGCUGGUUCUGC